UACGGGGGGGGGCAAGCGUUUGUUCGGAAUUACUGGGCGUAAAGGGCGCGUAGGCGGCUUUUCAAGUCGGGCGUGAAAUCUCCGGGCUUAACCCGGAAGGGUCGUUCGAUACUGUUGAGCUAGAGUGUGGAAGAGGCAACUAGAAUUCCGUGUGUAGCGGUGAAAUGCGUAGAUAUACGGAGGAAUACCUGAGGCGAAGGCGGGUUGCUGGGCCAACACUGACGCUGAGGCGCGAAAGCCAGGGGGAGCAAACGGG
rnacentral:rRNA from 1 species